rnacentral:lncRNA from 1 species
GCUCAAAUUCGUGGCGUUGGUAGAGAAGAUGCUCGCGAACGCGUUGGGAGCGACGGAUCGAGCUUUCGUGCGCCCGUUGGAGCGGCGUGUUUUCGUCGCGGCGUUCACAUUGUGGUAAGCUUUUAGGAUUUGGCUUAAUCCUUAGUUUUAAGUGUCCUGAUAGCCUCUAAUGAGCAUUCUAAACAUGUUUGCUCUAUUUAAUUUGGAUUAUUUAGAGGUUAAUUGCAUGUUAGGGCUCCGAAUGGAGUUUUGUAAAAUGUAUGAGUUUGAUCUCAUUUGACCCUCAGUAAACCAAAUUGCUAGGUAAACGAACGCGUUGGCGAAGACGGUUCGGCGAUUCGUCGAGCCGUUACAAGGUUAUUAAAGAAAUGGACAUUUAGGCUUCGGGUCCGCCGGGAGGGCCGAGGCGACGUCAUAAAAUCAUGGAAAUGGAUUUGAGGCAUCAUGGCACAUAACCGAGGACCUAUAAUUUUCGGGGCUGCGAAGCGGAGCACGGUUGAGGCGCAGUUGCGAUAUCGGGCCGUGCCGGAUACGGGUG